GGCAGGCACUUUCCUUUCGAUUUCUGUUUUUCUCCUCCAUUCCUGCCUUCAUUCCUGCACUCAAAGGAGCUCAUGGGGAGGCAGUGAAAGCCCGAGGAUGGUGAAGGUUUGAGUGUGUGUGUGAUUGUGUGUGGCAGAGUAACACUGUGCAAACCCUCUGCCCUCCCUGCCCUGCACCCUGGGCUGUGCUGAGAGCCUUCCUUCCUUCUGCUUCUCAGAGCCAGCAAUGGAAACUGCCAAGAAGAGUUCUCUCUAUCCAUUGAGUACUUUGCAACUAGUGAAAGCAGGACUAAUGGUUCAGCACAACAAGUUUUCCCAUGCCGACUCCUCAGAUGUCCAAUGUGUAUGUGCAUCAACCAGCUCUGUAGUGGAGGUGGGGAAGCAUGAAGCAAGUUGGGCAUGAGAGAUGGCAGCCUGGACGCCAGCCUAGGCUCACGGGAUACUGGGUUUUAAUCAAUCAACUCGCUGUGACAGUCAGAUAUUUUUGGGGCAGAAAUAAGGGCUCUGAAAGGAAGAAGAUUGUUUCCAAGUUGUGCCUCCCUGUGUUACUGCCAAAAGGUGAGGAGGCCCGUAUUAAAAGAUCUGUCAAAGCUUAACCUCCAAGAUAGAAUAAAAAAUUAUAAAGAUC